rnacentral:siRNA from 1 species
CGACCUGUAGUGUUUGGUGGAU